GUUGAAUUGAAUUUUAGAGAAUUCUCUCUAUCUUUUGGGCAUUUUUUCUUUGUAUUCCUCCUGUGAUAUAUCUAUUAUAGCUAGCUUGCAGGAUAAUCGUUGUUAAGCCCGACAUCUGUAACCUAAUUGUUAUCGCACCAUUAAUUGUGUUCUCCAAAACUUCAUCUAAUUCAAAAAAAUUCUUAUGAAAAACGAUCAUCAGAAGAAUGUGGAAGAUGAUUUGAAUGUAUUUCUCAUAAUUCGAUAAGAAUCAAUUCCUCUCCUAUUAUACAUUAUAUGUUAUACGAAUUCGAUGACUGCUCCAUUUUCCGAAAUUGGGGAUUUAAGAUUGUUCUCAAGAAAUUCAUAUUGAACACCAUUUUUUUUCCCUAUCUCUUGAGAUUAUUUCUGGCGUCUUCCUCCAAUUAAGGUUUCUUUUAUGAGCUUUUGGGGGCGUUAAAAUGAAUUCACGUUACAAUUACGGCUUAAUUCAAGAUUUUUUUCAACUACUUUCCUUUUCCUUUCACAUCAGUUUUAAGUGAAUAAACGAAGGAUGAGACAAGCAGACGGAGUUGAGCCGGUGGCCUUAGAAACCUAAUUGCAGAAUGCCCGUUCAGUUUUCUGGCCGAUGUGGUGAGGUAUUGUUCUGGUUCCUUUAAGUUGAUUUUGCAGAUUGCGUAGAUUAAAAAACUAUUGUAGUAUUGUAUGUUCUAAUCAGCGCAUAAGAGCAGAUAAAUAAUGUGAUGGAUAAAGACUUAUGAGUAGUGCAGAACAUAGAAACGAAAAUCAUGGUUUUUCUUAUGAUCUGAAGUAUGAUUCCAUUGGGAUAUUAGGAUCAGAGGCUAAUAUAAAUAGAAAAACAUUAGCAGAAAUGAAAUUUGAUUUGUUUGUGGGCUAAAUAUGCUGAUUGAUUGAUGAAAAUGAAUUCUCUGUUAUGCAAGUAUCAAUUAUGCUAGUCUUAACUCGAUUUGAUGAACUCUCUUUCACCUUUUCAAUCUAUCAACAGCUAUUACAAAAUAGGAAUUGAAAAGCCAAAUCCCAUCGAAUCACCCUUGCUUAUAUGCCUAAACAUUCUCGAACGAUUCUCCUACAAAUGUAGAUCAUUGUGUUUAUGUCAACGAAUUAUAUGGUGGUAACUUCAUUUUAUUUUUUUGCUACAUGUAGAUGAUAUGUUGAUAGUGGGACAAGAUGUUAAGCUUAUUCGCAGUUUGAAGGUAGAUUUGUUCAAGUCAUUUGACAUAAAGGAUCUUGGAAUUUGGGGAUGCAUAUUCAUCGUAAUAGAAAAGCUGAAAAGUUAUGAUUACCACAGGAGAAAUAUGUAGAAAGAGUCUUGAUAAGGUUUAACAUGAAGAAUGCAAGACCAGUUGGGACAACACUUGGUAGUCACUUCAAAUUGAGUAAGUGCUUGUCUGGGAACGAUUGUGGUGGGAAAAAAUUUGAUUUUGAUGUCAAGUCACGGCCCCCACCAUGUUUAAUUUAAAUUUGCAUCCUUGCCAGCUUCAUUAAAGUGGAAAACUUCAACAACCCCGAAAAGUCAAAGUCACCACUAUUGCAUCUGGAAAUGAAUGAAAACAAGGGCAAACUUGGUAAUUGAUCAACGAUGAAUUAUGGACUCUGCAAUUGUGUGAAAAGGAGUCUGGUUUUUGUUGGAAUAACGAAUUUAUACUUGACUACCAACGGUUGGAUUUUUCCUAUUAAUUUAAAUUUAAUUGUUCCCAAACAUGGGCUAAGCUUAUUUGUCCUUCUAAGAAGGAAGAUAAAUAAAGAAUGACGUUAAUUCCCUACUCUAUAAUUGGGAGUUUGAUGUAUGCUAUGGUAUGUACACGGCCAGACAUUGCUUAUGCAAUUGUGAUGGUUUGCAGCUUUCUUGUUAAUGAUGGUAAAGAUCAUUGGGAGGAAGUGAAAUAGAUCUCUAGAUAAUUGAGAGGUACCUCAAAGAUGUGCUUGAGUUUUGGAGGUUUAAAACCAGUUUUAAAGGGCUUUAUAGAUGAAAUAUGGCUGGUGAUCUUGAUGGUAAAAAAUCAACUUCAGGAUAUUUGGUUACUUUUAUAGAAAGAGCUAUCUUGUAACACUUAAAACUAUAAAAGUGUGUUUUCUUAUCUACAACUGAUGCUAAGUAUAUUGCAGCAACUGAAACAACAAAAGAAAUGCUUUAGAUGAAAGAGUUUCUUCAAGAUUUAGGUUUGAGCAAGAUGGGUAUAUAGUUAAGUGCGACAGUCAGAGUACAUUAGACAUGAGCUAGAAUGCUGCUUAUCAUUCUCGAACGAAGCCCAUUAAUGUAAGAUACCAUUGGCUAUGACAAGUAGUAGCGAAACAAUUGAUAUAGUUACCGAAGAUUCAUACCGAAAAGAACCCAACUGAUACGAUGACAAAGGCUGUGAUUAGAGAGAAGCUUGAGCUUCGUGCUGAACGGGCUGACAUGAACUCUAACUAAUUUGUUAGAGGAUAAUCUCUUUCCUUGAUGGGUUGGACAGAGAG
rnacentral:lncRNA from 1 species